rnacentral:rRNA from 1 species
CCUACGGGCGGCUGCAGUGGGGAAUAUUGGUCAAUGGGCGCAAGCCUGACCCAGCCAAGUCGCGUGAAGGAAGACGGCCCUCGGGUUUGUAAACUUCUUUCUCAGGGACGAAGAAAGUGACACUACCUGAGGAUUAAGCCACGUCUAACUACCAGCCAGCGGCCGCGGUAAUACGUAGGGCGCAAUCGUUAUCCGGAUUUAUUGGGUGUACAGGGCUUGUAGGCUGGAGCGCAAGGCAGAUGGGAAAACUCAGGGCUCAACCCUGAGCCUGCAGUUGACACUGUGUUUCUUGAGUGCUGGAGAGGUGAGCGGAAUGCGGUGUGUAGCGGUGAAAUGCGUAGAUAUCAGGAAGAACACCGGUUGCGAAGGCAGAUUGCUGGACAGCAACUGACGCUGAGGCGCGAAAGCGUGGGUAUCGAACAGGAUUAGAUACCCCAGUAGUC